rnacentral:rRNA from 12 species
CAGGACCCUAAUACUGUUCUGUGAGUGCGCAAUCCCGUCUGAUCUUAAAAGCUAAGCAGGACUGGGCCUGGUUAGAACUUGGAAGGGAAACCCUUGUGGUAGACCAGGGGCCCUUA